GAUGAACGCUGGCGGCGUGCCUAAUACAUGCAAGCCGAGCGAACAGACGAGGAGCUUGCUCCUCUGACGUUAGCGGCGGACGGGUGAGUAACACGUGGAUAACCUACCUAUAAGACUGGGAUAACUUCGGGAAACCGGAGCUAAUACCGUAUAAUAUAUUGAACCGCAUGGUUCAAUAGUGAAAUACGGUUUUGCUUUCACUUAUAGAUGGAUCCGCGCCUGAUUAGCUACUUGGUAAGGUAACGGCUUACCAAGGCAACGAUUCGUAGACGACCUGAGAGCGUGAUCGGCCACACUGGAAAUGAGACAAGGUCCAGACUCCUAUGGGAGGCAGCAGUAGGGAAUCUUCCGCAAUGGGCGAAAGCCUGACGGAGCAACGCCGAGUGAGUGAUGAAGGUCUUCGGAUCGUAAAACUAUCUUAUUAGGGAAGAACAAAUGUGUAAGUAACUAUGAACGUCUUGACGGUACCUAAUCAGAAAGCCACGGCUAACUCCGUG
rnacentral:rRNA from 1 species